rnacentral:sRNA from 1 species
UCCUUCUUCCUCAGUUUUCUUCUUCAU